UACGAGGGGGCAAGCGUUGUUCGGAAUUAUUGGGCGUAAAGGGCGCGUAGGCGGUGCGGUAAGUCUUCUGUGAAAUCUCCGGGCUCAACUCGGAGCCUGCAGAGGAAACUGCCGUGCUGGAGUGUGGGAGAGGAGAGUGGAAUUCCCGGUGUAGCGGUGAAAUGCGUAGAUAUCGGGGAGGAACACCCGUGGCGAAAGCGGCUCUCUGGGACCACUACUG
rnacentral:rRNA from 1 species